rnacentral:rRNA from 1 species
CCUACGGGAGGCAGCAGUGGGGAAUUUUGCGCAAUGGGGGCAACCCUGACGCAGCAACGCCGCGUGAGUGAUGAAGGCUUUCGGGUCGUAAAGCUCUGUCAGAAGGGAAGAGAUGGGACGUGCUAAUAUCGCGUUUCCUUGACGGUACCUUCAAAGGAAGCACCGGCUAACUCCGUGCCAGCAGCCGCGGUAAU